UGAAGAGACUGGCUCAUUUUCAAAUAAUGUUACCGUUAACUUGUUUAGACAACGGUCACGGUAAAUUAAUGUUAAAGCCUUGAGUUUCCAGCAGUUUCUCGGAGGGAAAAUGUAAAAGCGGUUUAUUAAAGAGAAGUCCUGACUGCUUUUUCGUCGUGUUUUUCACUCUUUUACAGGCUGCCAGAAAGAAUCCGUCUCUAUAGUGAGUGAUUAUUGAAUGAGGCUGUACAUUAUAAAUGUAAUGUUUUAACUCGAGAUGUUUGUUUGUGUGAAUGCUGUGUGUGCGCUGAGUUCUGCGCGAGCGGGGAACAGAGUUGCCAUGGAAACGGGGCGUCAACACAAAAACCGUUACUGGCAAGCAGUAAUCUCCGUCUCUCGCUGCGGUUUACGCUGUUUUAGGUAAGUUUAGUCGCUAAAAUCACACAAAUAUGAUAUACAAAUGUUUCUGACAAGUUUCUUACUUGUUAUUGACAUGUUUCAAUUAAAUUUAUUUUAUAGAAAUGGUUUAAUGUCUUCGAAAAAGUCCGUUAGCGUCUUAGCAGUUUUCAGGUAACGUUAGGCUAAUUUUGAGCUCUUGUUGAUGAAACUCUGGGCUUUUCAUCAAAUCUUCGUGUAUGAGAUAUUUUGAUGGCUCUGUGAAUGUUUUGCUGGUGAUUUGUCAGUGUUUUUUUUGGAAAAGGCUGAUUUACUGAAUCGAUGACGUCACUUACACUGAGAGUGUAACGUUAAUCGGCUGAAAACAAGUUCACAUGAGUGUUUAUAUUUCAUGAUAAACAGAUAUUAAUACAAAUUGUUCUGUGAUUUCAGGAGGACAGAAAUAAACUAUACAGAACAAAGUGAAACUCCAAGAUUUUUGAAAAGAAAAUUGGUGAAAUAUAUUCUGAAAAAGGCAUAUUAAUGUAUUUCAUGAGCUUCUUCAGUAAAUCUGUAUUUCUAAGUCAGUAUCUCCCUUCAGAAAUGUUGCUGAAGGGAGAUACUGACUUAGAAAUACAGGUGAACUCAUGAAAAUAAGCUCAUGAAAUACUCAUGAAAGAAGCUCAUGAAAUACAUUAAUAUGCCUUUUUCAGAAUAUAUUUCACCAAUUUUAAGGAGUCCCUGACAUCAAAACGUAAGUCACACUCAACCUAAAAUUAAAAAUAUAGAUUCUGUUAUUUUAAGAUUAUAUUAUUAGUAGUAGAAUUUGUAUAUUACAUAUGUUAUUAUUGUUGUUAUAUAUAUUAUUCUGUCUUUUAUCUGCAUUUUACCUCUGCUUUAUCUUGUUUCCUUCUAAUGAACCUGAAACAGCAGAGUAAAUAUCGUUGUCUCUGUGUCAGCUUGUUUUGUUCCUGGACUCUUCAGUGAUGAUGAGCAGAGUCUGAGUGAACCUGCUGUCAGACAAUCACUAUUGCACACCAAAUGCUCUUACUCAGCAGAUGGGGACAGCUACCAUCACCCAAUUUUCACCCAAAAGUGGCUGCGCUAUGCGCCAGACCGGGCAGGAGGGACUGGACGACAACUUAUGCAGGCAUCAGAUGACAAUGAAGUGUAAAUAAAGAGUAGAGGCUAAUAAACAGGAAUUUGAUUUUAAAUAGUGUGGUGUGUUCUGUGUUUUAUACAAGAUUUUAAAUGUUCUAUUAAUUUUUAACAUCCUGGCUGUAGAUAAAGCAGGCUAUUUAAUUUAUG